UACGUAGGGGGCUAGCGUUGUCCGGAAUCAUUGGGCGUAAAGCGCGUGUAGGCGGUUCGGUAAGUCCGCUGUGAAAGUCGGGGGCUCAACCCUCGAAAGCCGGUGGAUACUGUCGGGCUAGAGUACGGAAGAGGCGAGUGGAAUUCCUGGUGUAGCGGUGAAAUGGCGCAGAUAUCAAGGAGGAACACCAUUAGUGCAAGGCGCUCGCGGGACUUGAACUGACGCUGAGACGCGAAAGCGUGGGAGCAAACAGGAUAGAUACC
rnacentral:rRNA from 1 species